rnacentral:sRNA from 1 species
AGUAGUUAUGGAUGAGUCAUGCUUGCAUGAACGAAUUCAUAACUAUUGGACGAGCUAAACGGUAUGAGCAAGUAGGGCGGUAGCCCGGAUUGCGAAUGUCGUUGUCAACUGCGGGAGUGCAAUAGCACGGAGCAGUUG